rnacentral:rRNA from 1 species
UAGGGAAUCUUCCACAAUGGGCGCAAGCCUGAUGGAGCAACACCGCGUGAGUGAAGAAGGGUUUCGGCUCGUAAAGCUCUGUUGUUAAAGAAGAACACGUAUGAGAGUAACUGUUCAUACGUUGACGGUAUUUAACCAGAAAGUCACGGCUAACUUCGUGCCAA